UACGUAGGGGGCAAGCGUUAUCCGGAUUCACUGGGCGUAAAGGGAGCGCAGGCGGCACGGCAAGCCUGAUGUGAAAGCCCGCGGCCCAACCGCGGGACUGCAUUGGGAACUACCGGGCUGGAGUGCCGGAGAGGUAGGCGGAAUUCCUAGUGUAGCGGUGAAAUGCGUAGAUAUUAGGAGGAACACCAGUGGCGAAGGCGGCCUACUGGACGGUGACUGACGCUGAGGCUCGAAAGCGUGGGGAGCAAACAGG
rnacentral:rRNA from 1 species